rnacentral:rRNA from 1 species
ACGUGAUCUGAGUUCAGACCGGAGAAAUCCAGGUCAGUUUCUAUCUAUAAGAAGUCUUCUCUAGUACGAAAGGACCGAGAAGGCAUAGCCUAUGUCAUAACAAGCUAUCCUCACCAACUUAUGUCUUAAACUUAAUAAAAAAUCAGUUCAACACCCAGCCUUAGAAAAAGGCA